ensembl:lncRNA
CUGAUUUCUCACUCUUCGGAGAGUCCGCGGCUCCCGUACAGAGAAUCUGAGGAGCCAAACAGCGGCUGAAUUAGACCAUGAAAUUACAGAUAACAUUUAAAAAUAAUCUCAGCAUAAUGAUUACAGCGAGGCCACUGAGACAUUUCUUAAGGCUCUGAAAUUAUCCACACUAUUUAUUGACUUCUUCCACACUCAGCGAUAAGAAUAUGUAAUCAGUUUUUCUGGUAAUUUGUUGUUGUAUCAGGAGGAAGAGUCGAGGAGGGGCGAGUGUUUGUGACGCCGGACAGACGGAUGUUAACUGAUGGACUGGAGUGGUGUGAAUUACUUGUAGAUUAUUGUGAUGUUUUUAUCAGAUGUUUGGACUCUCAUUCUGACGGCACCCAUUCACUGCAGAGCAUACAUUGCUGAGACACUGAUGCAAUGCUACUUUUCUACAAAUCUGACGAAGAAACACACUCAUCUACAUCUAUAGAUGGCCUGAGGCUCCAUCGAGAGGAGCUUGGCCCAAAACAGCACCUGUUGUUCACCGAGUGACCUUCUAAUUUUCUAAUUCAAUUUCAUCUGGAGCCGCUCUGCCUCCGCGAUCAGCAGCCAGUAAUAACAAUUACUGUGACCGACUCAACCUGCACCUUACUUCAAUCAGAGCAAGUACAGCUUUAUUACUCUGCCCUGUUAAAUCAAUCUACAUCUCCGCAUAAUAAGGCCCUAAUCAGGUAGCAGAAAGAAUAAUAGGUUGUCACGCAUGAGGAAAAAUAGGCAAUCAUGAAAUGUUUUCUUUAAUUAGGCUGUGAGGACUGGAAGGGCAUCAAGAGGACCGGCUGAUCAUUUAUCAUCAGCGCGGGGGGAAAUUACUUCACUUACUCGGAAAGAGAAGGAGAGAGAGGGGAGAAAUUUGUCAAACGAUAAAGAAAUGCAACCCCAGCCUCUCUGUGACCCAUCAUGAG